GGAAGAGGAGGAGAAAGGGGGAGACAGGUCCAACAUGUGUCUUCCUGCUUUGGAGAAAAUGCUGCCAACCUGCUGCAGGGAAUCUGAGCCGAUUUAAGAGCAGAAAAUAAACUGAAGGGGAGGUCACAAUCAGGAGAAGUUUCCCUCCAUCGUGUUUCUUCCUGAAGGCUGCGGCUCAGAGGUCAUGGUCCUGAAUCAUCCUGAGCUUCCAGGCUGCAGUUUCUUCAUUUAUUGGUCCCUGCAGGUCUCCACAGGGGGCGCUGUUAUUCCAAACAUCCACCUGUUGCCAAAGAUCCCAGAGAGAGGUGAGAUGUCCCUCUGAGGGAUAAAGUGAACCUGAGGUCCUGCU